rnacentral:rRNA from 1 species
GUAUAAAAUGAUCGGGGGAAUAUAGCUUCGGUCUCGUAUCGGAGUGUUAUAGACCUUGGUAAUGUGACGAUUGGGAUCGAGGAUUGCAACGAAUACCUUUUUGGGCUAUCCGUCUGACCUUGAAAGUCGCUCGGGGGUCGAAAGCGUUGCGUGCUUACGGCUCACCACCCGAGUUGGCGUCAAUAGGUUAGAACGUGAUUAUAUUCGUUAAGGAUGUUGACGUAAUGGCUUUAAACGA